AUGCAAUUCAAACUCAGAUCUACAAUUCAAUUCAAGCAAAUGAAUGCAACAAGUCAGUUCGAGUUCGAUCGAAAACAUCAAAAUCAGUUCACAAAACAUUCUUCUGUUUCAAAUGCAACUCAGCAUUUUAUUCAAAGUGGAAAAAGUGUGAGAGGAGAAAAUCAGUCUAACCUCAUUAAGCAUAAGAGGCAUUCCUAUUCAUACGACUUCGAGACGGGAUCACUGUGCAGAUGCAUUACAUCCGAGCAUUCAAAACCAAACAAAAAAAAAAACAUAGAUCUGAAACAUUCGACUGUUAUCAUCUGUAAAAUAGCCAUGCAUCAAGUUACAAUUUCACGCCAUUAG